rnacentral:misc_RNA from 1 species
GUUGAAGAACGCAGCGAAAUGCGAUAAGUAAUGUGAAUUGCAGAAUUCAGUGAAUCAUCGAGUCUUUGAACGCACAUUGCGCCCCCUGGUAUUCCGGGGGGCAUGCCUGUCCGAGCGUCAUUGCUGCCCUCAAGCACGGCUUGUGUGUUGGGCCUCCGUCCUCCUCCCGGGGGACGGGCCCGAAAGGCAGCGGCGGCACCGCGUCCGGUCCUCGAGCGUAUGGGGCUUCGUCACCCGCUCUUGUAGGCCCGGCCGGCGCUUGCCGACACAUCAAUCUUUUUUCCAGGUUGACCUCGGAUCAGGUAGGGAUACCCGCUGAACUUAAGCAUAUCAAUAAGCGGAGGA